rnacentral:lncRNA from 1 species
UUUUUUUUUUUUUAUGUUCAAAGAUUUAUUGGACCCUUAGCCAUUAUAUUCUGAUAAUUUUUUUUCAUUAAAACUUUCUAAGUAACGAUAACUAAUCAAUUUUACAUAAAAAUAAUUUAACGAAGUCACGUCAAAGAUGAUAUAUAAUUGAAUUAAAUAUGAAAUUAAAAUAUGUAGUUUCACAUGAAGUCAAAUAUAUUUUUUUAUGAAAUAAAUAAUAUAUAUUCAAUUUUAUUUUAUAAUAAAAAAUACAAAAAUAAAUAAACUAAAUAUAUAUUACAUAGAUAAAUAAUAACAAUGGUAAAAUUACCUUUUUAUUUAAAAUUUGCUUAGUAAAUAAAUCUUAAAGAAACUUACGAGAUAUUCUCCAAACUUAAAGGGAUAAGUGGGCAUUCUUGAAACCAUUGAUGUAAGUGUAAAUGAUACACUAGUCCUACUGCAUUGACAACAAUAUCUAUAUCAAUCGAGCUAAAAUUUAUUGGACGAAAAAUUAGUGUUUUAGCUUUCCUUGAAAAUGCUCAAUUUUUAUUUAACUCAAAUUGGAGAAAGCAAGGGAAAUAAAUAUUAUUUUUUAUCCUCCUUAUUUUUUACACAUUUAUUUUAUAAAAAUAUUAUAAUUUUAAAAAAUCUUACAAUCAAUCAUUUUCUUUCCAUUUUAUUAUUUAACCAAUUACUUAUUUUUCUAUUAUUACAGCUUGUUUGGUUCACCGUGUUGGGUAUGCGAUUAUGCCUCUAUUACGCGCGCCCCACCAAUUCCUGCGCUUGGUUCACUGUAAUGCCCUAUUACGGGCUUAUGCGGUUACGGACGUAAACGCGAUAUUCCCUGCUUCCUGGCCGAUUUGCAUUCCCUUCCAAAAACCACGAUUACCCUAUUACGGACGCAUUCCCGAAAACCUUCUCUGUUUUACCCUCGCCGAAAUCGACCUGCAGCCCCUCCCUCUCCCUCCCUUUCGAAAUCGCCGAAAUCGACCUCCCAACAGAAGCCGUUUCUGCAAAAUCACCUCCACCCUCUCCCUCUCCAUCCCUCCCGAAAUCGCCUCUCCCGUUUCACUCCAUUAGGGGUGAGCAUUCGAUCGAAUCGAAUCGAAUCAAAAAUUUUCGAGUUAAUCGAGUUUUCGAAUCUCAUUUUAUCAUCCUAACUUUAUUUGAAGUUUUCUCGAAUCGAGUCGAGUGAGAUGGAAUUCGAAUCGAAUCGAAUCGAAUAUAUUUGUUCGAGUUAAAUUUUAAAAAAUAAUUUUGGGUCCUUGUAACCAUUGUCACCCAUCGUAAUAAAAUUUGUCCACCUUAAUCAAAUUUUUUAUUAACUUUCAUCACUUCAUAACUUAUUUAUUAAUUUUUUAUAUAUUGGUUAGCUUCUUUGCUUGCUUAGUUGUUUCAAUUAUCUUCAGAUUCUUGUCACUAUGUAUUUUAGAAUUAAAAAAAAUAUUAAAUGUAAAAAUAUGAUUUUUCAAUAAAAAUUAUUUUAAAAAUAAAAUGUGAAAUUGAUACCAAUAUAAAAUUUAACACGAAUAUUUUAUGGCAUAAUUAAUAAAUCAAUUUUAAUAUAAAUAUUCAAUAUGACUAAACAAUUCAAUAAUAUAAAUAAUAUAAAAUGUGAAAUUUAAUUUAAUAAUAUAAAUAGUAGAUAUAAAUAAAAUUAUUACUAUUUAUGUUUAGUGAUUUUUUUUGGAUAAUUUUGAUUUUUUAUUUGAGAGUAAAGGGUGAGAAGUAAAAGUUUAGGGGAAAAAUAAAAAGUUUUGGAGAAUAAAAGUUUGAGGGAAAGUAAAUAGGGGGAGUAAAAUUUUGGAGGGAAAAUAUUAAAAAAAAAUUGGAGGGGGGAGGGUUUGGGGUAGAUGGGAGGUGGGAUGGGAAGGGAAUAAAAGUUGGAGGAAAUAAAAAUUUUGGGGAAAAAUAAAAGGUUUUGAGGGUUUGGGGGGUUUUAGGGAGUAAAAUUUUGAGAAAAAAUAAAUGGGAGAGUAAAAUUUUGGUGGGAAAUGGAUUUUGGGUAGAUUGGGGAGUAAAAGUUUUGGGGGGAAAAUGGGAAGGAGUAAAAGUUUUGAGGGAAAAGUAAAAAGGUUUGGGAGUUUGGGGUAAAAUGUAAAAUAUGAUAGUUUGAUAUUCGAAUUAUUCGAAUUAUUCGAGUUAUUCAAAUUAAAAAACUCAACUCGAUUCGAACUCGAAAUUCAAAAAAAAAUUCGAGUUGAUUAGAAUAACUCGAUUAACUCGAAUAACUCGAUUAACUCGAAUAACUCGAUUUGUUUAACUCGAAAUUCAAUUUUUUUUCGAUUUUUUCAAGUCGAAUCGAGUUUUGCUCACCCCUACACUCCAUCGUCUCAGAUCUCCGGCCCAACUGUUUCGGUAAGUGGUUCUUCUCUUUUUUUCAUCUCGGAUUUUUAUUUUCUUCCUCAUGAUUUUCUUUUUUAUCAUUUUAUUUGUUUAUUCCCACCGAUUAUUCCCACCGGCCGAAUGUUGUUUAUUUUUAGAACUGAUUUGGUUUAGUGGAUUUUGCCCAAUGAUGGAAAACUCAUUGAAUGGAGCAGUUCGACUGAUUUUCACUUUAGAGCAUUUACUAUCAUCAUCUGUUGUUCAAUUCCUUUUCCUCUUCCUCUUCCUCCCCUUCUGUUUCUCUAUCCUUUCUGGUUCCUGUCGAUAACUCUCUCCUCUUUCCCUGUUCUCUUUCUCUAUUCUUUCUAUCUAUAAUUCUAUUUAUCUUCUUAUUGACACAGAUGAUGGUUGAUAAAUUCUUUAAUGAAAACCAGUUUGUUAAUACUGUGAAUGACCAGAUAUAGCUAUGAGAUCUGAGGGCUUUGUUGAACAUUUUGAUUGUAGGAUUAUCAUUCUGUUUUUUUCUCAUGUGAUUUGCAUCUUGAUUAUACUCAUGCGUACCCUUAGCUGAAUGCAUUGUUAUUAGCGGUUUUCUGCAAUGGGAUUGUAUUUUUGGCUGUUAAUUGGCCCUUAGUAACUCCAGUACAGUAUGGAAUUGUAAUGCUAUCGAAUAGUUGUAUGAUCUCAUUGGAUAUGUUGUAUGGGUCUUUAGUUUCAUUUAUCUUAUGAACUAUGUCAAUCUCACUGGCAAUGUCAUACUUGAAAUUAGUCUUUUGUUGCUAGAUGAAGCUUCAUUUCCUUCUUGAUGCUUUUAUUGCGUCUAUUUCAUCAAUUAUUGUAUCCGUUUGUAAUUAGUUGCUAAUUUGAAACCAUUAAACAUUUUAAUUGUCUGAGAAAAUAUUGUGAACCCUUUUUCUGGUUUAAUCCCAACUGGUAUUUGUAAGUACGUUACCUUCCUAGUGAUUCACUAUGGUUCUAGUCAAUAUUUCACUGCUUUUGAUACCAUCUGUGUGACAUAUGCUUAAUGAAUUUCAAAGGUUUUGGCAUGUGUCCAAUGGCGAGAAGAAGCUGAUACAUUGGGUAGUUCUUUUGCUACUUAGUCUUGUUGUUGUUUACCUUUUUCACCGAGCUCUGAAAUUAUUGAUUGGAAUGAAAGUCAUGAGCAUCACUAUUGUUGAAUUAUGUUACUAAAGUUAUAUUUCUUUCUUUGAAAUAUAUCUUCCUUUAUUGUUGUUAUAGGACUUUUAGGGUAUCUAAAGCUUGAUUAGAGCCUUGGUGACCAUUGUACCUUUUGCUUUCUCAGUAUAUACUCUUUUAGUAAAUCAUAGUUUCUUCUUUCAGUGAUGUUAUGUAGGGUUUUAGAAACCUGUGCCUUGGGUUUCAUUGAGACUUAUUGCUGCUUUUGCCCCAUGAUGGAAAACUCAUUUUUGAUUGAAUGGUUCUGGUUUUCUAUUCUUCUCUGCCUUUUGCAUUCCACCUCCUUGUGGAGGUUCACAAUAUUUUCAAGGUUCACAAUAUGCUUACUGCGUCUACGAUUCAGGUUUAGUUUUUUUUAACCAAAUCCUUGUGGCAUUUGAAUGGCAACCUGUUGUUUGUAUUUUACGGAACCUAUAGAUAUAGACCUCAUAUUGUUGAAUGAAUUGCAUGCUUCUGCCCUUGUUAUUUGUUCUUUCUUUUCUUUUGCUCGUUCUUUUGCUCGUUCUUUUGCUUAAAAUGCGGCUGUCUGUCACUAGGUUGAUUGGUUGAUUGACUGUGAUUCCUUUGCUGUAACUUUGCUUAAAAUGCUUAGAAGUGUAAAUUCUUUUGUAUAUUAGCACCCUUGUUAAAUUUCUUACAAGUGAGGUUCCAGUAAAUUGAUGUUCUAUGUGAACUUCUGUAGGUAUUGGACUGUUAGCUACCGAUUUGCUCCAGACAUAAAUCGUUGGCAAGCUGAAGCUGUAGUUGCAUUUCAAGAGGUAUUUUAUAGCUGCAAUUCCAGUAAAUUGGACUGUUUUUUAUGGUUUACUCCAUAGUAAUGUUUUUAUAGUUAUAUUUUGCAAGUGUUGAUGUAAUAAGUCGAUUUUUAUUGGUAUUGAAUUAUUUGAAUUUGGGAUCGAAUUUCUUAAGUUGAGGUAGUUUGUAAAUUUUAACCGAGAAAUUACGAGACUUAUACAACGCAUUAAUUAAAUGUGUAUAUUCAUAUACAACUCAUUAAUUAAAUGUGUAUAUUCAUAUACUACUUAUUAAUUAAAAAUAUUUCUAAAUAAUUAAAAUUAAAAAUAUUAUUUUAAUAAUAUUACAUAUAUAUCGACUUUUGAACCAUUAUAAAUUAAACCAAAUCCAAUCAUGAGUAAAAAAAUAAAAUAAAAAUUGGAUCAUUACAUAUAAUCAAGUAAACAAAUUGAUUAAAAAACAUAUGGAUAAUAUAUUAAAAUUGGAUCAUUACAUAUAAUCAAGUAAACAAAUUGAUUAAAAAACAUAUGGAUAAUAUAUUAAAAUUGAAUAAUUAGAUAUAAUCAAGUAAACAACUUGAUUAAAAAACAUAUGGAUAAUAUAUUAAUUGGAUCAUUAGAUAUAAUCAAGUAAACAACUUGAUUAAAAAACAUAUGGAUAAUAUAUUAAUUGGAUCAUUAGAUAUAAUCAACUUGAUUCUAAACUACGGUUAAUGUUAAAUUUGUAACAUUGUUGUACACAAUUUAGUUAAGAUUCUAAACUAGUAUUGUGAUGUGGCAAAACUGUAUAACAUAAUAAAAUUCUAAAGUUAUUUAUUACUGCUAAUAUUUUUUUUAUUGUAGAAUAAUUAAAUUAUUUGUUCCACAAAUGAUAUUUUAGCACAUUAAAUAUGUAUUGCAGUUUAAUAAUAAUAAAGUAGAUUAUAAAUUAUAUUUAAUAAUAAUUAUUUAAAUUAUAUUUUAUAGUAUUAUAUAUUAUGAUUUUAGUAAAUUCAUAUAAGAAUAAGAAUUUUAUUAAAUUAUAUAUUAUUAUUAAAUUAUAUUUAAUAAUAAUUAUUUUAAAUUAUAUUUUAGUAUUAUAUAUUAUGAUUUUAUUAGUAAAUUCAUAUAAGAAUAUUUAUUAACAAUUUUAUUAAAUUAUAUUUUAUAACAAUUAUGUUAAAAUAUGAUUAAAUUAUUUAUUAUUUAUUAUUUAUAUUAAUAAUCUUAUUAAAAUUUAAUAACAAUAACAAUAAUCAUCUACCUUAAAAAAAUUCUGCUAAGGGUAUUCUAGUCAUUUUAACUUUUUUCCUUAUGCUAUUACACAUCUAUUCCAUUCAACCAAAUACAAGAAUACCAUUACGCCUCUAUUCCAUUACAUUCAACCAAACAAAAGAAUUACCUAUUAAGCCUCUAUUCCAUUACGCCUCUAUUCCAUUACAGCGAACCAAACGUGCUGUAACAAUUUCAACUAUCCAAACAAAAUAAUAAAUAAUCAUUUCAUCCUUCACAUUCAGCUCUUUUACUUUCCUUUCAUUUUCUUUCCAUCCAAACCUAGUAUUAGGAUUUUGGAAACCCAACUUUUUCCUUUGGUCUUAUCCAAUGGCAUGAUCGACCUCUUGUCAGUCAUGACACAUUGUCCCUACCUUGUUUUCCAUCUUCCACUUUCUACUACAUUUUCCUUCUACUUUCCCCUUUUUGCUUCCAUCUUUGUUCUAUCCUUCUCUUUUUCUUCUUUUUCCCUUGUCACUGCUUGGGUUUCAAAGGGAGUUGAUGGGCUUUGUUGUCGACUUCUCCAUGCCAGGAUUGACUUCUCAUUUGAUGUGUGUUUGUCCCCUCUCAAAUUUUAUUUUGUUGCUUGGGUUCUGCUUGUGUCUAUCUAUAUUUUUGUUAUAGGUUUGGAUUAGGUUGCUCUACAUUAACAAGGAUGGAUCAAUGCAUUAGGGAGAACCUGUUUUGCACUAAUGGUUGCUAUUGAUUUCUUUGGGUUUGAUCCAUCCUAUGUUGUUACAUUUGAAGUUUUGGCUUCUUUACAAAGUUUCUUUGCCCUAGUGCCUUUUUUUCUUCUUGCUUCACAUGGCUAUUCUUGAAAUGAUGUUCAUGCAAUUUGUUUUUGGUUCUAAGUUAAGUUAGAAAUAAUUUGGAAAAUAUGUUUGUAAGGCCUAAUAUUUGCCCAGGCCCGCAAACUAAAAAAUAAACUAAUAUAAAAACAAAUUAAAAGUCCAAAAUACAAACACUAAGCCCAGAUUAUAGACCCAAUUAAACCUAUGGCCCAAAACCUGACUCAGCCCAAAUGGCCCAACACCAGAAUACACAGCAGUAAACCCUAGCUAGCCUAUUGGGCCGCACAGCCUCCAGCGCCUUCGGUCUUCCUCUCUACGCGCUCCACGCCACGCGCCUCCAGCUAGUCUCUGCACCAUGCCACGUCACUGUACGGCCUCCGUACACCUGCAAAAACCCACAGCACACAAAGAAAGCAGGAAAAGAGGGCAGAGAAAAAUGAUGUAUUUUGAUUUAUUUUUCUUUUCGAUUCGGCUAUAUAAAAGCCAUUUUUCAAUAUUUUUAAGGAGAACACACGCAUAUUCGAAUACAAGAAAAAAAAAGGUUCGAAGUUAUCGAAAAAACAUAAAUAAAAGAUCGAUUAUUUUUGGAAAGGUGGUUCUUUUUUUCUUGUUUUUCUUUCUGUAUUUUUCUUCUGAGCGGUUUAUCUCUUCUGUUUUUUUGGUCGCAUACAUAUAGAGGUAAUAAAAAAGGGUUUAAGGGGCGAAGAGUUACCUGACCUUGCCUACUCCGUCGCCAUCGGAGAUCGAGCAAAGGUUGAAGGCUCUAGGGCGGCCUGGUCGUUGACAGCGAUCUGCGAGGUGGGUUUCAAAACCCUAGAAGAGGAAAAUGGGGGGGCUAAUGUUUAGUUUUUCUUUAAGUCUGUUUAAGGUUAUGCUGCUGAUUUUAGGGUUUUAAAGUUGGUAUUUAUAGUGUGAAAAACGACACCGUUUAGGGCCUGUGUCAAUGGCUCUGAAACGGUGCCGUUUAGCGGCCAUACCCGAUGACCCGAUCCAACCGCGGCUAGAUCCGCGCGUUUUGGUAGGGGGAGGGAUAAUUGCACUCUCGGUCCUCUCUCUUUUGUUCUGGGUUCAAAUCGGUUCUUUUCCUUUUUUAAAUUUCGCCCUUUAAUUUUCUCUUCAUUUCAUUUUGGUCCAUAUCGCAGAGCUGCAUUUUGGGAGGAUGGGGAAUAUUUCCCAAUUAGUCCCCCAUGUUAUUCACGCACUGCAUUUUUGUCCUUCAAUUUUAUUUUAUUUUCGCUUUUUUUCUUUCUGAUUUUGUUUUAAAACCAAUUUAAUCCUUAUUAGCUUGAUUUAAUUUGNNNNNNNNNNNNNNNNNNNNNNNNNNNNNNNNNNNNNNNNNNNNNNNNNNNNNNNNNNNNNNNNNNNNNNNNNNNNNNNNNNNNNNNNNNNNNNNNNNNNNNNNNNNNNNNNNNNNNNNNNNNNNNNNNNNNNNNNNNNNNNNNNNNNNNNNNNNNNNNNNNNNNNNNNNNNNNNNNNNNNNNNNNNNNNNNNNNNNNNNNNNNNNNNNNNNNNNNNNNNNNNNNNNNNNNNNNNNNNNNNNNNNNNNNNNNNNNNNNNNNNNNNNNNNNNNNNNNNNNNNNNNNNNNNNNNNNNNNNNNNNNNNNNNNNNNNNNNNNNNNNNNNNNNNNNNNNNNNNNNNNNNNNNNNNNNNNNNNNNNNNNNNNNNNNNNNNNNNNNNNNNNNNNNNNNNNNNNNNNNNNNNNNNNNNNNNNNNNNNNNNNNNNNNNNNNNNNNNNNNNNNNNNNNNNNNNNNNNNNNNNNNNNNNNNNNNNNNNNNNNNNNNNNNNNNNNNNNNNNNNNNNNNNNNNNNNNNNNNNNNNNNNNNNNNNNNNNNNNNNNNNNNNNNNNNNNNNNNNNNNNNNNNNNNNNNNNNNNNNNNNNNNNNNNNNNNNNNNNNNNNNNNNNNNNNNNNNNNNNNNNNNNNNNNNNNNNNNNNNNNNNNNNNNNNNNNNNNNNNNNNNNNNNNNNNNNNNNNNNNNNNNNNNNNNNNNNNNNNNNNNNNNNNNNNNNNNNNNNNNNNNNNNNNNNNNNNNNNNNNNNNNNNNNNNNNNNNNNNNNNNNNNNNNNNNNNNNNNNNNNNNNNNNNNNNNNNNNNNNNNNNNNNNNNNNNNNNNNNNNNNNNNNNNNNNNNNNNNNNNNNNNNNNNNNNNNNNNNNNNNNNNNNNNNNNNNNNNNNNNNNNNNNNNNNNNNNNNNNNNNNNNNNNNNNNNNNNNNNNNNNNNNNNNNNNNNNNNNNNNNNNNNNNNNNNNNNNNNNNNNNNNNNNNNNNNNNNNNNNNNNNNNNNNNNNNNNNNNNNNNNNNNNNNNNNNNNNNNNNNNNNNNNNNNNNNNNNNNNNNNNNNNNNNNNNNNNNNNNNNNNNNNNNNNNNNNNNNNNNNNNNNNNNNNNNNNNNNNNNNNNNNNNNNNNNNNNNNNNNNNNNNNNNNNNNNNNNNNNNNNNNNNNNNNNNNNNNNNNNNNNNNNNNNNNNNNNNNNNNNNNNNNNNNNNNNNNNNNNNNNNNNNNNNNNNNNNNNNNNNNNNNNNNNNNNNNNNNNNNNNNNNNNNNNNNNNNNNNNNNNNNNNNNNNNNNNNNNNNNNNNNNNNNNNNNNNNNNNNNNNNNNNNNNNNNNNNNNNNNNNNNNNNNNNNNNNNNNNNNNNNNNNNNNNNNNNNNNNNNNNNNNNNNNNNNNNNNNNNNNNNNNNNNNNNNNNNNNNNNNNNNNNNNNNNNNNNNNNNNNNNNNNNNNNNNNNNNNNNNNNNNNNNNNNNNNNNNNNNNNNNNNNNNNNNNNNNNNNNNNNNNNNNNNNNNNNNNNNNNNNNNNNNNNNNNNNNNNNNNNNNNNNNNNNNNNNNNNNNNNNNNNNNNNNNNNNNNNNNNNNNNNNNNNNNNNNNNNNNNNNNNNNNNNNNNNNNNNNNNNNNNNNNNNNNNNNNNNNNNNNNNNNNNNNNNNNNNNNNNNNNNNNNNNNNNNNNNNNNNNNNNNNNNNNNNNNNNNNNNNNNNNNNNNNNNNNNNNNNNNNNNNNNNNNNNNNNNNNNNNNNNNNNNNNNNNNNNNNNNNNNNNNNNNNNNNNNNNNNNNNNNNNNNNNNNNNNNNNNNNNNNNNNNNNNNNNNNNNNNNNNNNNNNNNNNNNNNNNNNNNNNNNNNNUAUUAUUAUUUUAUAUAUUACUUAUUUGGAUUUUCCUCAUUUGUAAUAUUUACUUUAAGAUUUAUUUAGAUAUUUCUUUGUUUCACAUAAUAUAUAUAUAUAUUUAACUCCAUUUUUUAUCUAUUUUAAAUUUUCUUGCAUAUUAUUUAUUUUAAAAUUUUUAUACCUACACUUUAUUGGUUUACAAUUUUCUUUCUUUCCUGUUUUUUGGUUAUUUCAAAACUUGUACAUUGGGUUGGUGUUUGUGAUAAUUUGCUUGUUUCUUAGUUUUAUUAUUAUUAUUAUUAGGUUUUAAAUAUUAAUGUUGAUAUUUAUAUGUGAUGUGAGAUUAUUGCCUUUAUGUGUAUGGUAUUUGUUUAUUGGUAUUUAUGGAUUAUUUGUGUUCAUUAACAUAUGGGUUUACGAAUUAUCGCCUCGCGUUGUACGUUAUUAUUCCAUUGUUUUUAUUUGUUUAAAAAAUUACGUUUAAUAUCACUCAAGUAUCAAGAGCAUUUUUAUUCAAAAAGUUUUUCAAAGAUAACACAAAGUUCGGUAUUUGGGAUCCUCGAAAGAAUUGAGCUCUAACGUAUUGGGUUCCAAUUUUUCUCGUCGAAUCUAAAUAACCGAGAUUAUUCUUUAAUCAAAGCAUACGCAUAAAAACUCAUUCUCGGGAAUUCGAUACGUUGUGUCCUAACGCAUUGGAUAUGUCAUGUUGUUUUCUCGAGAUAAGGAUUUUCUCUAAAAAAUAAAAAUAAAGGCAAUAUUCGAUAUUUAGGAAUUUUGUGAAAUCGAACCCUAACUUACUGGGUUUUGAUUUUCUCAUUUGACCCAAAUAAUCAGAUAUCCUUCUCAAAAUGCAUAGGUUUUAAAAGUCAAAAGAUAAACUUAAUUCUGAGGAUUUGAAAUGUUGCACUCUAACUUAUUGAGUGUGACAAUUUAUUUCUUUGAAAUCAAUGAGCCUUAUCAUCCAAUUCAUUUUAUUCAAGAUAAAAGGAUCGUAUUUUAAAAUCUUUUCAAAAUUUCGACAUUAAGACAUUAAACAAUCAAUUCGGUACCAAUUUUGGGCGUCACGAGGGUGCUAACCCUUCCUCGUACAUAACCGACUCCCGAACCUGUUUUCUCAAAAUUUGCAGACCUAAAAUCAUUUUUUAAUGGUGAACCUAUCACACCUCAAUAAAAGAUCGGUGGUGACUCCCAUUUUAUUUUCAAAGUCGAUUCCCGUUUUUCAAAUUCAAUAAAAAAGUGGUUUCGACAAUGUCAGGCAAAAAUUAUUUUUUUUAAAAUGAACUUUUGUGGUGAUAUUUAAAGGAAAAAUGUUCAAGAAAAUGUAUUUAUUGCAGAUAGUAAUUCAUGCAAUCUAUUCUGUUUUAUCCAUUCAUUCACAGGUCUUAUGCAAUUUGUUCAAAGUUAUAUUUAGCUGAUGGAGGGACCGAUUGGAUAUACAUAAAUUAGGGUUAAAAUAAUUUGUAAGUAAAUUACAACUUUUUAUUUAUUAAUUACAAAUUUAUUUAGUGAAGUAGUCAAUCCACUAAAAGUACUGCACUAAACUUCUCAUUAUACAUCAUUAUCAAAGCUACUUAAAUUAAGUUUUUGUCCAAUGACCUUGUUCUAUGUGUGUUACCUUCAUAAGAUAUCCGUGAUCCCUUUAAGUUAAAUCCACUCACUUAAUUCAACCUUUUUUUGUUCAUGGCCACUAUUUUAUCUUUCGCAAUAAAGAUGAUAAUUGUUUAUAUUAGUAAUAAUAAAAUCAUUUAUCCCAAAUAAAUUACUCAUUGUGAUGUUUCAUUUUCAUAAUCCAUAUAAUAUCAUUGAGAGGAUACCAUCUACUUUAAUUUGAGACAAGCGGGAACUAAUAAAAUUGAGGUUAAACGUACUUUACAAUAAUUAUGGAUUUAAUCCCUAUACUUUAAAUUUAGUCAUUUGGUUUUUAUAUUUUUUUUAAAUUUAAAAUUUCAGCCAUCACUAAAUGAUAAUUUUAAAUUCAUUAAGUUCUGUUAUUUCCAAAAUUUGAUGGGACAAACAUAUUAACAUAUCUAUAAUGGGGAUAUCAUGUCGGAUUGUCAUUUCUAUAUAUUAUUCACUAAAAAUCCAGUUAAUGGAUUAAUAAAUCAUUUACGUCAAGAUUAAAAUUUCAAAAUUCGAAAAGUAUAAGGCUUUAGAAUGAUCAAAUUAGAAAAUAUGGUCUAAAUCUACAAUUGUAGCAUGAUAUAAUACAAGUAAUUGAAUUUAACCAAAUAGAUUUGAUUGCUACUGUUUGACUUUUUUUUAUUUCUCUUACUAGACUUUUUUUAUACAUUUUUUAAAAUUACUCAUAGUUCCUUCCUAAUCCUUAAAUAGGAGGAUAAUGCGUUUCAGCACACUCAAACUCAUGCCCUCCUACACUAACAAUAAUAUCGAUACUAAUCGAGCUAAGACUCAAUCGGCUAAGACUCUUUGAAUUGAAAUAUGAGCUCCAAAUACAAUAUUUACCACUCAAAUAUUAUUAUCUAAAAUUGUUUUUCGAAGUCAUUCUCGAAGGGUAAAUGUGAAACAAAUUUAAAAUACAACAAACGAGAAGGAAGGAAGUAGAUUUAAAAAAAAAAAAAUAUUACGAUUUUCGAAGGUGGAGGAAAAUUUCAAAUGCUUAACUUAAGGGUUUUUAAAAAAUAAUAAUAAUUUGGGAUGGUUUCUCCCAAUUUUAUGUUAUUUUAUUUAAGGGAAAUUAUUUGGUAUAUUAAUAUUAGUGGAAAUAAGGUUAAGGAGCUGAUAAUAUUAUUUUAAUAAGCAAAUUAAAUCAUAAACAUGACAUUAGGAUUGUCAGUUUAAUUACAUUUUUAAAUGAUAUUUACAUUGUCUUAUAUUAAUGGAAAUGUUAUUGUUAGGGCUCGAAUCUUGAAUUUUGAGGUGCAAACAUACAUCAUUAACUACUUGCUUUCUAAAAUUAUUUGUAAAAAAUAAAAAAAUUUAAAUAGAAAUAUUUAUAUUUUAAAUUUAUUUAUACAUUUUUAUAGAUAAAAUAUUCAUAAAUCAAAUUCAACGUAUAUAUAAUUUUAGUAUCAAAUAGAUAUGCCUAAGUUCAAUCCAACACAAAGUAUGGUGAGUUGUCUGUGUCGAUACGUGGAACAAGUGGAAGGCUUACAUAUUUUAACAUAGAGUAAACUAUCAAAAUAGUCACUUUUGUUGAUCUCAUGUUACAUUUUAGUUACUUAUAUUUGAAAUGUUACGUUUUAGUUAUUUAGCUUAUCGCGUUGUAGGGUUUAGGGUUUAGACUUACAUACUUUCCAUUCUCUUCUGCUUCUCCUUCUGUUUUCCUCCCUUCUCCAUUUCUUUUAUUGUAGUUUUUCUAUGUUUUCCAUUUGAUAAAACUAGUCCUUAUACUUUUAUUUGUUUUUGGACAAUUUAAUAUUUUCGAGUGAUGCGAGCUUAUGGACUAGUUUUAACAAAUGAAAAACAUAGAAAAACUACUUUAAAAGAAAUGAAGAAGAGAGAAAAACAGAGGGAGAAGUAGAAGAGAAUAGAAAAUACAAAAACAAAAAAGGAAGUUAAAAAGAACAUAAAAGAAAAAAAUUAAAUUGCUCAAAAAAAAAUAUAAGGAUCAAUUGUAUAAUUUAACAUGUCACGUCAGCUUUUCGUUACACCGUUAGCGGAAAUUAACGACUCAGUGACUAAAAUGUUACAACACGAUAACGUAAAUGACUAAGAUGUAACAUUUCAAACAUAAGUAACUAAAAUGUAACUUGAGAUAAACAAAAGUGGCUAUUUUAAUAGUUUACCCUUGAACAUAUAUAUUUGCAGAACAAUGUGAUAAAUUUGUUCUCUUUUAACUAAAUCAUUAAUUUUACUGUAUAACAUAUAUGAUUUUUAUUUGAUUGAAUCUUUAAUUCAAUUGGCAUCCAUCUUAUUACAACAAAUAAAACAACAUGAGUUCAAAUAAUGCAGAUUGGAUUAAAAAUUUUCGAAUAAUUUCAUUUUAAAUUGAAAAUUUUUAAAUAUAGAUUAUUUAAGUUUUCUCUUUUUUGGUUGGGUCAUUUAAGUAAACAUACAUUAUGUGUAGGCCCAAGCAAUGCAUUUUAGGUGUAAAAACAUAAUGCAUGAAAUACAACAAAGGUUGGGCCUGUUUUUGCCCCUAUGCGUACAUAACGCAUGAAAUACAACAAAAGCUAAGCCUGUUUCUGUCCCUAUGUGUAGGCCUAUAAGCAUACAAAGAUGUAUUAUUGCCCCUAUGUGUAGACCUAAAAAUUACAAAAUUUGGAACAAUUACUAUUGUGAUACGAAAAAGGAAAAAGCAACUUAUUCAAAGUUCCCGUGAGUGUUAACCAAUCCUUGUACAACGAUCCAUGAUCUUUUUUAUUUUUCAAUUACCUUUAAAAUCUGCAAGAAUAUAUGCAAAGCUGCAAUAUUAAGUAAUUGACUGUUGAGUAAUGGAUAUGAUCAUGUGAGAGUUAUGUGACAGGAAUCUGUAUAUCUUAAACCACAAUAAAAAGUUCACCCUAUUGAUUCAGCUAACUUCAAUGGCUGACUUAUUAGUUGAAACCCAACUGUCAAUUACAUGUAUAUAUAACAUAAUAUCAGCAAUGUUUCUCAAAACCCCAACAUUACUUUCUUUAAAGCUUGCCUCGAAAUGGCUUCUCAAACAUCUUCACUAAUGCUUGUUUUGUUUGUUCUGCUCCACAUGGUGCUGUGCACCGUUGAAUCUAAGCCUACCACUGAAAUUUUCCGACGUCUAGUGGGAUGCCGCAAAGGUCACACCGUCCAAGGGGUUUACGAGCUCAAGCAGUUUGUCAAGAAGCUCGGGUACUUGAAUUACGAUGGAGGCAAACAUGGGAAGGAUAACGAGUUCGACGACGAUUUGGAGGCUGCUAUCAAAGCAUACCAAGUUAACUAUCAGUUGAAUAUCACAGGCAUUCUAGAUGAUGAUACUUUGAAACAAAUGAUGAAGCCAAGAUGUGGCAUUGCUGAUAUGAUCAUCCAUGGAGAUAAAAAUUCCAAGUCCUUCUAUCGAAUCGGAGCCUCUCAAUACGAAUUCUUUAUGGGAAAUCCGAAAUGGCCACUCUCAAAGACUCAUCUAACCUACAACUUUCGGUCCAGUGUCGAUGUCUACCUUGCUGAAGACAUAAGGUCUGUUUGUUUCCGAGCUUUUGAACGGUGGGCAAAUGUGAGCCACUUUACUUUCGAGGAAAUACCGGAAGACUACAUCGCUGAUAUUGAAAUUGGCUUCCAUAGUGGCGAUCAUGGAGAUGGCUACCCCUUCGAUGGUCCACAAGGGACUCUGGCUCAUGCAAGUCCACCAACUGGUGGGAAGUUACACUAUGAUGCUGAUGAAAAUUGGAGCACUAGCCCUGGUCCUGAUGAUAUUGACUUGGAAUCUGUCACCGUGCACGAAAUUGGCCAUCUUCUCGGGCUGCAACACAGCUUGGUCCCUGAUGCAGUCAUGUAUGCAUACUUCGACUCUGGUAUUACGAAGAGGAGGUUAAACAGGGAUGACGUUCACGGUAUUCGUGCCUUGUAUGACUGAAAAAACACUACAUAAUAGCUAUGAAUGUCCGCAUAUCAUCUACAUUAUCUUAGCUGGGUUCAUAUGUUCCACAUUUUCUGUUCAAUCAGAACAUUUGUAAGCAUCAAUUUGGUUUAUCAAUGAAGAUUAAACACCAAUAAAAAUUGAUACUUACAAGCAGUUUCAAAGUGCAGAACACAUGGAUCUUACAUGAAACCCUUAAUGAGGCAGCUAAUAAACGAGAAGUAGUUGAUUUUGUUUCAUUUUUUUCCUAUAAGCUGUGGAAACCUACCAUUGGGCAUGAAAUUCUCCUCAUUCAUGGCAACCGAUUAUGAUCCUACUAGAACGAUCUCUAACUCCCAAAUUAUAGCUUAAAAUUUUAAAAGUUAAAAUAUGCUAUACCUUUUUAUGUACUUUAAAAUUUUAUAAUAGUCUUUCCACUUUUUAUAUUAAAAGAUUUGACUUUAGGUGACACUAUCAUUAAUAUUUUAAAUAAAACAAAUAAGAUUAAAAAAACGCGAAUAAGAUGUGAAUAUAUCUAAACGGUAAAGGGAUGACAAAUUCUUGCCAACCAAAUAUCGACUGCCAUUUUAUUAUUCUUCUGUCAGAUAUACCGACAUAUAGUCCUUCACCUUUAUAAUAAAAGGCAAUACUUUUUGGUCCAACAAACGUGCUUAAGAUUGAUUUGAGUAUAGUUUUUGAAAAGAAUACAAUCGUCACCAUCAAUCCAUCAAUUACUUUAGUGAAAUUGAUCUGAGUAUAAUUUUCAAACACUAAAUCACCAUCACUAUUAGAUGAUGACAUGAAAACAAAGAUGUUAAAAGAAAACAAUUUUUUUCAUCAUGGUUGAUUGAAGCAAUUUAGUGGCAGCAAAUUAUAAUAAUAGUGGAUUUGUAUGUAUAUAUAAUAUUGAUGAUGAUAUAGUUUGGUAUUGUUAUGAACUAUCUUUUGAUGCAUUAUUCCAGUUCUUAAUUGGAUAGUUUAGUUAUAAUAUUUGCUGAUUAAUUAUUGAUGCAAUUUGAUACUAGCAUUAAUGAGUAAUUCACAAAGUUAUUUACUAAGUUAUAUUGGUAAUAUGUUUUAUUCAAUUGUCAAAAGAGGAGAAUGUUGAAAAAUAUGAAAUUGGCCAUUGAGUGUUAGAGAAGUGCCCACUUCCCUAGCAUUGGAGUUGUUUAACGACAAUUUCUAUAAUUGAGCAUUGGUAAUUUAUUAAAUGAUUUGAAUGGAAUGUGCUGAAUAUUUGGAAGAAAAGUAGCCCAAUUAUGAAUAUCAUAUUGCUUGGGGAACUCAUAUUGAAGAUUGGACCAAAAAAAGUCACCCAAGUCGAUCCCUUAAUAUGGACAUUUGGAUUGGAUUGGAACUCUACUUGAUUGGCUGCCAAGAGUCCAUAUCUAUAUUACUUCCUAUUAUUAUAUUGUAAGCAUUUUAUUGUAUUACUAUUUUAAUGUGACUGUUUUAGAACUUUUAUGUUAGCAAGUCUUGAACAAAAUCUAUUUAAAGGAGAGAUGUAUAGAUUACUGUAUAGAAGGUUUAAUCACUUAUCUCGUUAAAGUGAGCAAGUUUUCUUAUUAGUGCAAUUUGAUAGUAAAAUUAUUUGUAUUGUGGUUUUACUUGUUGAGUUCACAAAGGUAAGCUUAGUGGUGAAAGUAUUGAUCUUCAAGGUUCAAAAGUAAGGAGAAUUGUCGCAGGGUGUGUAAUAGGUUAGAUUCACUGCUUGUAACUGUUGAAAAGAGUGGAUAUUUCUCACUAAGCUAGGUUCCACAGACGUAAGGAAACUUGUUACACCUCUAACCCGUCUCCGUUGCCGAAUUAGGAUUAUGGAGAGUUAUAGUGCAAUUCGAGACAUUUAAGUUCAAACAAAACAACUAAUCAAUUUAAAUUCUAACAUUCACGUAUACAUUUCAAUUAUAAUAUAAAAUACAAUUAUGAGCUUUAAUCCGGGGAUCAUUUUGAAACAAAAUAGAAAAAUUUGGAAAAAGUUUAAAAUUUUGAAAAUAGGGGACAGACAGCUAUGUGACAUAGGGACAUGGCCAUGUGGCCAACAGUGUGGCAGACUGUGUAACUUUCGAAAUGAUUUCACACGGCCGUGUCGCAAGCUGUGUGCCAAACCGUGUAAUAUUCGAAAUACUCUCACAUGACCAUCUCGCGGGCCAUGUGUUAGACCGUCUUCAAUUCGAUGUUAGGUCACAUGACCGUGUCGCAGGCCAUGUCUCAGACCAUGUGACAUAUUGACUUAGAUCACACGGUCGUGUAAAGAGACCGUGUGCAGCAAACGGCUAUGUGCACCAAAACUUACCCCUAAUGCAAGCCAAUUCAAACCCAAUUGUUUGGGCACCAAACCAACCAAUUCAAGAUGUUAUCACAUGGCUAAAACACAUUCGAAAACAUCAAAAAAAUACCAAAAACCAAUCAACCUAGGUGUCUAACCAAUGUGCCCUAAUUGACGCCGCAAUUUAUAAUCCAAAAAUAAUCAAAAACCAAACAUUUAUCCAACACCAAACUAAAUUGUACUUAGAUUCAUCAAAAGCAAUAUAUAUUUCCUAGCUAAAUGUCAUUCAAUCAUAUCAUCAAUAACCAUAUUCAAGAAUCUACAAUUCCAACUCAAUUAACACAUUAAACAUACAUAAUUAGAACUACUCAACAUUCCAUCUCUUUCCAUACGCAUUUAAACAACUUAUAAUAUAUAUACAUCAUCAUAAACAUCAACCAAAAUACCACUAGCAUUUACAACAAAACCAUUUGAUCAAGUACCAAAACAUAUAUAUAUGUUGCCAAAUAUUACCAAUUCAAAUACCAUACAUAAAUGACAUGGAUAAGUCAAACAAAAAGAUCCUAACACGUGCCAUUCAUAACCAACUUCAAAAUGACUCAAACAUCUACUGAGAAAAGGGAUGGAUAGUGUGAAUGCCUCGACUUAACCUUCCGACCAACCAAGCUUUUCGUGAUCUACGAGGAAAAAUACACAUAACUUGAGCACGUAAUGCUUAGUAAGUUCAAAUAAAGGUACACAUAACUCACAAAUAAAAUCACUUUACAUAACACAUAUAUUAUUUGUUUAACCUUUUUAAUCAAUAACCUUUUCAAUUAAUAACCUUUUCAUCGAUAGCCUUUUCAACAAUAACCUUUUCAAUGAUAACCUUUUCACGGAUAACCUUUUCAUCAUUUUCAUUGUUUCGAGAGUGCGAUGGUAUCUUUCAACCAUGAUCUUUUCCUUUUCAAGUAUAAUGCCAUGAUAUAUUUCAAUCAUGGUCUUUUCCUUUUCUCAAAUCAAGAAAAUCCAAACAUCAUUUCAUAAAUACGUAUUUAAAUAUAUCAAUUUACAUCAUAAAUUCAAAUGAAAUACUUUAAAUGAAAUGCGAACUUACCUUGGUAGAACUGACUCCAACACGAGACCAACAACUAUUCAACUACUUUUGCUUUUCUGUAAUUAAUGUCCGUUUGGUUCAUUUCUUGAUCUAAAUAAUAAUUUCAUUCAAUUAAAAUGUUCAUAUAACUAAAAAAAUUAAUUCUAGCUUAUAGCCCAUUUCAAUGUGAAUUUAUAAAAUUAACCCUAACAUUUUAACUUUUACACAAUUUAGUCCUAAACUCGAAAUUCACAAUGUAAUCUGAGGCAAAAAAAAAGUGAUUAUUUUUGUAGUUUACCUAAUUAAAAACACUAAUUAUCUAAUUACGCCAGAUACCAAAUUUAAUAGAAAGAAAAUUCAAAAGAAAUUUAAAGGUAAGCAAAUAAUAGAAUGGAAAUCCGAGUUGAAAUCAAUUACAUGAAAGUUAAAAAUAAUUCCGAUAAUAUAUUUGAAAGUUAAUAUUUAUAUCCAUUCCAUAAAUUGUAAAUCAAAAUUAAAUCAAUUGGUUCAAUCGGUUAAAUAAAAAAGUAAUGAGUUUGAUUUUGUAGUUCAACCGGUUAAAUCAGAAAUUAACUCAUCUAAUUCAUGCUAACUUUUGAAGGUAGUCAAAUUUGACUAAAUUGUGGAUCCAAUGUAGCGUAGCUUAUUUCCUCUUGUGUAUGAGGCAUGAAGAUAUAAUUUCUCAAUUAGGCAAAUAAAAAUAAUUAAAAAUGUAACACCUCAAACCCGGCCUAGACGUUGCUGCUGAAUUCAAAAGUGUUACGAAGAAAAGUUAUAAAUCUGACUUCCUUUUUAUUUGAAAUCAUCGUAAACCGUUGUUGCUUAGUAAGCCCGAUUUGUUUAGAAAACAUGUUGAUAUACUUAUUUAAUAUCAAAUCAUUAUUCGUUUACGUCUUUCAAUUAAAUCGAAUAUUUUGCAACGGAGUUUCUUAAAAUGUUAUAUUUUGGUAAAAUGAAUUGUUUCCUUGAAAAUUGUUAUUUUCAGAAAAAAUAUCGUUUUCAUAAAAAUCGUUUUAUCAAUCCUUAUGCUAGAAAACCAAAAUAAAAAUCCAAAACCAAAAACAGUCCAAAAAGUCCAGAGAGUCCAAAUUAUACAAAACUCUCAAAACAAAAAUUUAAGUAAGCCAAAUUAAAGUAAAAAUAGUUUUAUGGCAACGUGGACACAACCGAACUCUCGUCGCACCAACCCGCCUAAGUCUAAGGGCUACCUAAAAUUAUCAUACAAAUAGAGGAUGGGUUUUAUAACUCAGUGUGCAACUCACAAAAACAGAAUCUCAAAUUUAGAUACAUGGUAGAUCAGAUGCAAACUUAUUUCAUAACAGAAUCAGAAUCAAUCCUCUACACACCAGCUCCAACCAUCCAACACACCACGUAAGGUAUAAAACUCCCACCUAGCCCUACACACCGCUUAGUGUCCAUACGACAUUUUUUAGAAUAAUCGCAGCUAUGCUGCCAGAAUAAUGGCGAGAUAUCGCCUCACACAGAACAUUUCCUCCACAUAAUACAUGUCACCUGUAACAACCGAUUUUGACCUUAUUCGGAACAGUGGUUUCGGAACCACAAAUCCGAGUCAAAAAAAUAUUUUAAAAUUAUUUUUGGUGUUUAUACUAUGUGAAUUUGUGUGUGCUAAAUUUUCGUUUAAAAAAUUUAUCAUUUAGAUGCCCGAUUUAAUAAAAAGGGCUUAAUCGCGUAAGUUAUAAAAGUUGCUAACUAUUUAUUAAAGUGUUAAUUUGCUAUUGUCUUUAUAGUGUGGGGUCCUUAAAAUGAAAUUAUUCCAUAAUUAAAAGAAUUGGAUGGAUAUGGCUUUAUUUUAUAAUGAUUUUACAUUAAAUAAUAAAGGUUAACUUUGUAAAUAUAUUAAAUAUGUUAAUAAAAUAUAAAAACAACAUGCAUUAGUUCAUCUUUAUUUUUUUGACCGAAUAUAGCUAAAGAAAAAGAGAAAGAAAAGGUUUAAGGUUUCGGCACUUUAAAGCUUGAAUUUGGGUAUGUGUUUAGCUCAGUUUUUGUUAAUUUUUACGUUUUUGAGAUCGUUGCUUCGAAUACUACUAGAAAAUAAAAGGUUAACUUUGUAAAUAUAUUAAAUAUGUUAAUAUAUAUAUAUAUAUAUAUAUUAUAAGUAUAUGACAUAUUUGGUAUAUGCAUGAUGAUAUAGUCAUGAAAGUUGGCAUGAUUUGCAAUUAUGGUUUGAUAUAGUUUGAUUCAAGGGAAUUAGGUAUAAUUGAUGAAGGAGUUCUUAUUGAUGAUUAUAAAUUACCUUGUGAUUUGGUAGUGGUGUUUUAAAUCAUGGAACUAAAUGUCUAGUUAUAUGUUAACGUUAAAUUUUCUUAUAUUUGUUAAGUGUGGAUUGUUGCUUUGGUAUGAGAGUUUCACAUUUGGAUAUGGUGAAUAAUGAAUAUAUGAAUAUUCGACUAUGGUAUUAUACUUAAAAUUGAUAUAUAUAUAUAUAUAUAUAUAUAUAUAUAUANNNNNNNNNNNNNNNNNNNNNNNNNNNNNNNNNNNNNNNNNNNNNNNNNNNNNNNNNNNNNNNNNNNNNNNNNNNNNNNNNNNNNNNNNNNNNNNNNNNNGACUUGUUAUGUUACAAGAUUAAUAUCUUAUAUAUAUAUAUAUAUAUAGGUUCGAUUUUGGCAUGUUUAAUGCAUUAGUAGAUUUGUUUUCUAUAUUUUAUAUAUAUAAUGAUUACGUUUUAGGAGAUGUUUUUGCAUGUAAAAUGAUAAGUGUUUGAUUUACAUUUGAAAAUGACUAGGAUACAAAUUAGUAAGGUAGUAAAUUAAUAAAUGGCAUAUUUGUGCAUAUGUAUAUAUAUUAGAUUAUGGAAUUAAAAGAUGUAAUCAACAAUGAUGUAUGAUAAUUUAGCAAAUGGACUAGUAAAAUUGGAUAAGUUAAUGUUCGUUUGGGUAUAUACAUAUCUGCAUAAUUGAAUUAUUAUUAUUAUUAAAAUUUAUGUGGUGAUUAGUUAAAUGUAUGAAAGUUGUGUAUUGUCCAGUAAUGUCUCGUAACCUCAUUCUGGCGACGGAUACGGGUUAGGGGUGUUACAUCACCCCAUAAUCAGACAUAAACAAAGAAUAACAUAUUUUCGGAUAUGCAUAACAUACAUACUCGUAUAAUAGAAAUAGAACAUGCUUGGUAAAUAAUAGCUCAUAUAUGUUAUACUUUAUUUACGUCAUGUUUUACACUAUCAGACUAUAAGAUUUCAUGCUUAAUAGCUUAUUUAAACAUAUACCGACCGCACGGAAGGCCCACAGUCAAUCGAGACGACGUGUACGACCUUAGGGAAAAUUUUUGAAAUUUGGGCUCACACGGCCCAAAACUGCCGAGGUUCACACACGGUUAGCCACACGACUGUGUAGCAUGGACAAGCCCCAAUUUCGGCUUUUGCCAAUAACCUUUUUUGAGCUUCUCGUUACACACCUGGCUCGAUUUUAAUGCGAAAACAACCUCGAGACCUCCGAAACCUAAAAAUAGUAUCCCAAUGAUUAUUUUAGUGCUCGAUUUACGAAUUCACAAGAAUAGACCGUGAAUUAACCCUCUCAAAACCGAACAAUACACACGCAUACUUACCGCCAAUGAACAACAAUCACACACGAAUUAGGCCAUUAGAGUGAAACCCACUGCUUCACAAUCUUCUCCUUAACAACACAUCCGCAGAAAUUAAAUUCCCAAACUACAACACCACUUGCCACUUCAAAAGAAAGAUCCUAAACCAAACGGACUUACAGAAACCAAAAGUUAAAGAAAAACAAAGCCCUACUUACCCAGACAAACGAAGAUAACAGGAAAAUCCGAAUCGCUGCGAUUUGAACGAAUGAUUUGUGAACAGAAUUGAAGGAAGAAGCAAAAGAAAUUUGCAGAGAAAAGAAAAAAAAAGCCAAAAAGAAGAGGAAUUUUGGGGAAAAAAUAGAAAUAAUAUCUCAACACCCAACUACCCCAUUAACUAUCAAAUCCCACCAAAACCGACUUACUACUCUCAUCCAACUACCAUAGAAUUUCAAUCCCACCAAAUCUCUACCACCAACCAGCACACACUCACAGAAGCAAAAAUUAUCACCCUUUGCUUAUACGAGGGUUCAGACACAUGACCCUAGGGCAAGCUAACACCUUACCACUUGAACCAGUAGACUCAUUCUAAUAUGAGUUAACCGACAAUACAAUUUAAGUCAAGCAAUUAUGGAUAAGGCUAGGAACUAAAAAAAUAGCAGAAUUUUCAAAAGUUAGACUUAAACUCAAAACCUCAAACACACACCCAUAUCACUUAACCACUAAAGUAGAUACUUAUUUAUAAUAAAAUUUGUAAAACAGGAUUUAAUAAAUCAAGGUGUUACAAAAAAAAUUCUAACAUAAAAUUUCUCAAAAAUAAGAUUGGAAAUUUAUAUUUGUCAAGUAUAAUAAAUAUGAAAUAAAAACAAAAAAAAAUAAUUAAAAAGUUGUAACAUAAAAAUUUUCAAUUAAGUAUUUAAGAUGCUUACAUAUGACUCCAAAAUAGAUCCUAUAUAUAAUUUCCCCCUUAUUCUUUAACUUCACUUAUUGACUUAAAAGUGGGUGUGCUCUUUCCAUCCAAGAUUUUCAAAACCUUGGCUUCUUCAUUAAACUUCAUUUUGAUUGGAUCUGGAGCAUCGUUUUCAAUUAUUCCUAAUCUUCCGCUACCAUUUUUAUUCCUCUUUAUGUAAUUCAAAACCCUAGGCAUAUUAAACUUCAAAAUUCAUUUUUUUUAUUGAUUCAUUCACUAGAAUAAACGAAUUGUUUGUACUCAAAGCAACCCCAUUAGGAAAAGCUAAACCAUCGUACAAAACAAAUAUGUCUCCUGUAUAAGGAUUAUAUUUCAACAGCCGUCCAGUUCUAGCACUGGAACUUAUAAGAAAGUUAGCAUCCCUGCACAAUUAAAAAAUAAUUUAUUCUUUAGAUAUGAAAAAUCUCUAUAUGAAUUAUUUAUAUAUAAAUUCCCUAUUAAUUAUUUAUAUGUAAAUCUCCCUAAAUAGAAUUAAUGAUUAAUGAUAAUUUAGAAGCAAAAAAAAGAUGUACCUUCUUUGAAAAAGAAUGCUACUAUCAGUAAAAUAAACCAUUCCGGUGCUUGUAUCGAUGUCUAAGCCAUUCGUAAAUUUGAAUGGAACUCCUUUGGCCAAAAUAGUCAGUUUUAUAACCGUGUCACCAUUUGGUCCAACAACUAAAAGACCAAAAUAGGCAUCCAUUAUAUACAAAAGACAUGUUUGAGUAUUGAAUUUCAAGCCCAAUGGUCUUCCACAUAUCGGUUCAAUGUUUGAAUCUUUUAUCCCAUCACACAAUUUCUUUUCCCUGAUCCCCAAAAAAAAACCAAAAGUUAAAAACCUUUUGAUGAAAAAUUAAUUUAUAACUAUAAAAUAAAACUACAAAAAUGAAUAAGAUAAAAAAAAUGAAUAUGAUGUGAAUAUAUGUAAACGGUGAAGGGAUGAUAAAUUCCUACUAACCAAAUUUCGGCUUCCAUUUUAAAAUUCUUUCGUCGAAUAUACCAACAUAUGAUCCUUCACCUUUACAAUCAAAAACAAUACUUUCUGGUUGUAAAAACAAAUUUACCUUUUAUUCUCUCACAAAUUUUACACUCUACAAACUAUCUUUUUACCAAAGUAAUUGCCAUUGACUAAGCUUUACAACCUAAUAAACUUACCAUAAACUAAAAAAAUUACAAUUACUAAAUUUUAAAACCUUAUAGAAUAAGCAUAUACUAGUAGAAUUAUAUAUGGUUUGUUGACACCAUUUUUUGGAUGAAAACAGGGUCGACUUGUGUUUUGAAAGAAAUGGGAGUCGCCACCAAUCCUUUUUAAUGAGGUGUGAUUGGACCACCUCGAAAAGUGGUUAUUUUUAAUAAAUAGUUUAAUUUUAUUAAAACAACAAGUUUGGUCCACGAAAUUCAAAAAAACGGGUUCGGGAGUCGGUUACGCACGAGGAAGGAUUAGCACCCUCGAUACGCCCAAAAUUGGUACCUAAUUGAUUACUUAAUGUCUUAAUGUCGAAAACUAAGACCUUUGAAGAAUUUUAAAAAUACGAUCCUUGUAUUAAAACGUUGAGAAAUUUUCAGGAAAAGAAGCAUAUUUCACGUUAUUCGAGAAAGAAAAUCAUAUCCAGUAAGUUAGAAUACAAUGUCUCAAAUUCCCGAUACGCGAAUAAAAAAUGCUUAUUUAGAAGAUAUUUUAGCCAUCUCGGAUUUAAAAAUGAAAUCACGGCCAGUAAGUUAGGACGCAAUUUUUUCAAAUCCCGCGAUCAUUUAAAAUUUGAAUUUAAAAAUAUUCGUGCAUUUAGAUUUAUAGUGAAAAUCGAGACCCAGUAAGUUAAUGUAUGAUCCUCUCGAAUCUAAACACGAAAUAUUAUUUAUUCAAAACAAAUAUUGUUAUAUCGAGUAAAAUAAAACAUGUAGUCGUUGUAAAAAAUGUGAAAACAAAUUGCAUUAUUGUUAUACAUGGCAAAAUCAUAAUGAAUACAAAAGUAUAAAAAUGAUAUGAGCAAUAGCAACAAUAUAAAAUAAAUAAAAGUCAAACCUACAAUCAUAUAAAAUAACAAUAUAUAAGCAAAUAGAUUGAAACAUUCGUUCAAAAUAAUAAUGAAAAUGAAAUAAAUAAAUAGUGAAUACAAUUAAAAUGUAAAGGGAUAUAUAAAGUAUAUUUUAAAAUAUAAAGAAAAAAUAAAUAAAUAUGUAUAUAUAUAAAAAUAUGUACAUAUAUAUAGGUGUAUAAAAUUAUGGAAUAUGAAAAUAAUGAAAUACAUAUAAAAAGUAGGUGCAUAUAUACAUUGUAAAGAAAAUAUGUAUGUGCAAAUUAAAGUUUAAAAAUAAUGAAAAUAUACAUAUGUAUACAAAUAAAUACGUUAAUUUAUAUAUAUAUUUAAAAUAUAUUGAAAAUAUGUAUGUAUAUGUCUAUGCAAAUUAAGAUAUACAAAAAUAUAUAAAUACAUACAUAUAAAUUUAUAUACUUAUAAAAAUAAAAUAUGUAUACGUGAGAUGUAAAAAUAAAAUAAAAUAAGAUAAAUAUAGAUAUAGAUAUAGAUAUAAAAGCAACCAUAUAAAAAAUAUAUAUAUAUAAAUAUGUACACAUAUAUUCGUGAGAAACAGAAAGAAAAAGUUAUAUAGAUAUACAUAUAAAAAAGGUAUUUAUAUAUUAAAUAAGACUAAAAGAGGAAAUAAUAAUAAUAAUAAUAAUAAUAAUAAUAAUAAUAAUAAUAAUAAUAAUAAUAAUGCUAAAAAUACUGACUAAAUCGAAUAAAAUAAAAAAAACAGGGCUGAUUCGAAAAUAAAAAGGCGACAAGGAUCAAACUGCGACACGCGCAACAAAGGAGGGACCAAAACAGUAAAUUUAUCCAGGCCUUUAAAACGACGUAGCUUCGGAGGACCAAAUUGCAAAUCGAAACAAAUUACUGGGCGAAUUAAAAAAAACAGAAGGCAAUUGAUUGUAAAACCAUUUAAAAGAUGAGGGGCUAAAGGGAUAAAUAACCCGAAGCUCAAAAACACGCGGAUCCUCCGGGUCGGAUCGGGUCGACACGCGGGUAAAAGGGCAUUAAGGCCAAAACGUCGUCGUUUUGGCCACUGGGGUUAAGGCUCAAAACGGCGCCGUUUCAACCCUCUAUAAAAACAAAUUUAUUUCUCAAAUUUUCAUUUCUCCUCUUCUUCCGAAAAAAAACCAGAAAUUCUCUCACACCCUCUCCCCAUUUUCCAGAAGUAGGCCAGAGACCCGGCGAGCCGCCCCGCCGCCAUACCGCCGUACCGGCCACCGUGUAUUUUUUGCUUUUUUCUUACGUUUAUAGUUUAUACGCUAUAUAUAUACAUAUAUUUUAAAAAUAAAAGAAAAAUAAAAAUAAAGAAAACAAACAGUUUUGAAAGGAAGAAAAAUAAAGGGAAAAAUAAAAGAAGUAAAAGGGAAAAUAGAGUUUAUACCAAAAAAAAGAGGUUUUUGAAUCUGUUUUCUUUGCUUUUAUUUCUUUAAAUCGUGAAAGAGGGGGAAGAACCCCGGUACAAGUGAUUGGCUAUGGCUUUAUAGCCAUUUUUACAUGAUUUUUUAAUCUAUUUUAUGCUUGUCAUUUCUGCCUUAAUUUCUUGCAGGUGGGCAGGUGAGGACGGAUGUGACCGUGGCGGUGCAAGUCGGCGACGUCGGCAGAGGCUAGAUGCGGGGACAGAGCUAGGAACCCCUAGGUGCGGCGCACCUAGGGUUUGACAUUGUUUCUGAUUUGUUUUCUUUUUUUUUUUUGGGCUAGGUUUGGGUAUUGGGCUGGUGUAUUGUUUGGGCUUGGUUUUUUGGUUGUAAUUGGGUUUUGUAAUUGGUUUGGGUCUGUUAUUUUAGGUAGUGGGCCCGGGUAAAAUUGGGUCUGUACAUGGUUUUUAUUGUGUAAGAAUUUCUUAAAAUAUUUUACAAAAAUUGUAUUGUUAACGUGUAUUUAUAAGUUAAUAAUAUACUCAAUUUAACUAUAACUUGACUUCAAGGGUUGACACUUAUCAUUCUCUUAUAUUGACAUCUAUCAUCCUCUUAUAUCGACACUUGUUGAAUUUACUUUGAGCGCGUGUGUGUUUUUUUUUAACCUUUUCCUCUUUAGUUUUAGUUUUUAUUGUGUUUUUUUUUUGUUCUGUACAAUAUAACGAAUACAUGUGUCGUCUCUCCUAUCAAUAUUUUAAAAAAAAUUAAAAUUACAUAUAUAAAACUUUAAAUUAAUUAUACCCAUUUAAAAAAUAAAAAAAUAAUUAUUUUCAUAUUUGAUAAAUAUAAUUGUUAAUUUAUAUAAUAAAUACAUAUAAAAUGGUUCACGAAAAAUAAUUUAUGAAAAAUGUUUUUAACAGUUUAUAUGUUUGAUUAGUAAAAUGUAACCUACUAAUAAAUAGAAAACAAAAUCUCCUCAAAAGAAAAAUAAAUAGAAAAUAAUACCAUUCUUCUAGAAAUUAUCUUUUCCUUUUCUAAAGCAUAAGACGAAUUCUAAACAAGAGAUCCUUAUAAUUUAACAUAAAUUUUUUAUUAAAGCUUGACUUAAUUUGAGCAAAAUAUUAUUAUAAUAAAUAUUAAUUUUUUAAAAACUAGAAUUUUUAAUUUUUAAUAUUAUAAAUUUUGAUAUUACUAAACAUAUAUUUUAAUAUUAAUUUUUUAAAAACUAGAAUUUUUAAUUUUUAAUAUUAUAAAUUUUGAUAUUAAUAAAUUUGUGUUUCAAUCACUUACUAUAAAAAUUACAAAAUGAUAGUUAAUAAACUUAUGACAUGACACGUUAACUCAUAUUCUUAAUAGCUAAUUUGGUUCCUGAACCAUAACUAAAAUUUUUUUGAUACUUUUUUAAUUUUUUUAAAGAUAAAUCCAAAAAAACUCUAAAAUUAUUAAAAAAUAUAAAGUCCAAAAACUCAUAAUUUAUUUUUUGAAAUUAUAAAAUCAUUUCUUAAAAUUAUAAUUAUGCAAAAAAAUUAAUAAUUCAUAACAUUCUUAAAAAAAAUGAAAACAAAAAGUAUUAAAAUUUUUUAUUAGUAAGUUUACAUAUUUACUGUUCAAUUAUAAAAAAAAGGAAUGAAAACCAUCCGGGUCGUUUAAACAAGCAUGUCCAACUAUGUGUAAUUCACUCGAUUUCUAUUUAAAUCUUUCUUCAAUUGUUUUUUAGAUAGCAUGGCAUCCAACAAUCGAUGAUACUUAUACUCCGCAUCAAUGUUACUAGCUCUGAUUACUACAUAAUCGUUGAUUGGAAGGUUUGCUAUUAAAGCGACAUCUUCUAGCAUAAUAGUCGCUUCCCUGCAUGGAAAUUGGAAUGUAUAUGCUUUUUUAUCUCUAUCUUUCCAACAAUGUAGCAACCAACUCGGGUAUGAUAAUGAACUUUAUCAUCAUAGAUGCCACAUAUAAACCAACACUAUUCAAGCAUUUUAAGAUACAUACAUUGGGCUUGAGAAAUUUUUAAAUUGUGUUAAGCACGAUAUUCUCAUUGUUUAAAAGAUACAAAAGAAUAAUAUUUAAUUUGGGAAAAUCUUAAAAACAUUUCCACAAAAAUUAUAGAUUUUAAAAAAAAUUUGAAUUAGAAAUUUGACAUGGUUGGCAAUGUGCUCUUUUUGAAACCUCAAUUCAACCAUCCCGAAAAAAGUACAAAAUAACAAGUUUUUUUAGAAAAUUGGAGAGAAUUUUGAGUGGGAAGGAAAGAGAAACGGGUGGAGUAUUUAUAUAGUGAAAGUCAACUCUCAUGGUUGUCAACUUCCACUAUAUUAAAUAGGUUGGUUGAGUCAACAAUCAAAUAAGCUUUUUAAUCAAACUUCAUAACCUUGAACUCGAUUUUCAUGGUGUUGGGAUCAAUGGCGAAUCUAGAAGAAUUUUUAGCAGGGGUUAAAAUUUAAUUAUAAUUUUUCAUAGAUCAAUAUAUAUAUUUAUUAUGUAUUAAUUUGUAAUUUUAUUAUUUUUUAAGGGACUAAACAUUUUUUUUAUUUUUAGAGGGCUAAAAUGUAAUUAGACCAAACUCCAAAGUGAAGUGAAAUUUCAUCAUAUAUUAAUUUAUGGUUUCUCUAUUUAUAAGAGAACUAAAUUGAAAACUUAUCAUUUUUAGUAGGACCAAGGCCAAUGUCUGCCCCUGCGCUUUAUAGUACUUUUCUCUGACUUGCAUGACAUAAACUCCUAUAAUGAUUUUGAGCUCUCCUUAAACUCGACACCUAGAUAUAAACUCGUAUGAUAAUUUAAUCUCCCUUGAAAUAUCGAAGUACCCUUAAAGAAAAUAUAUUCCGGAAAAUAACUUCUGAUUUCACAUAUUUUAACGAAUAAUAUAAAAAUUACUAUUAUGUUGCAGCAAAGGUUCUUUAUCUUUUUUUUUCUUUAAAAUAAAUUUAUCAUUUUCAUAAUUUUAAACCUUGUUUAUUUACAUCAAACCCAAGCAUUAAACAUUUUUUAACAAUAACAUUAAACAAUUAUUUAAAAAAAAUACAUGCUCACAACAUUUUUCAAAAAAGUAAUGAGAAAUUAACAUUAAAUAAUAGUGACCGCAGUUCAUAGUUGCAGUGGAUUUGGAGUCGAAGGAAAAGAAAGAGAGAAACAUAAAUAAAAUUUGCUAAACUUUAUUCUUAUUGUCUACUUUUGGGGAGCUUAAGAUUUUGGUCAAAGCGGAUUUGCACAAGGAUAGAGAUGAUGACCUUAACCGAUGGGCUUUCCAACAAAAAAAUUUCAAUAAUUUAAUUAAAAAUAUAGAGAUUAAUAUUAUAAUCUGAUUUAAAAUUAAUUUUUGAUAGUUACACGUCAGUUUGUUUUAUAUCUUCAAUAGGAGUUGAAUCUAAUCUUACAUAAACAUAAGUGAUUAAUUUUGUAAUUUAUCCAAAAUAUAUUAUUUAAAAUAAAUUUUAUAUUUUUUUGAAACUAAGUUUUAUAAUCCAAACCAUAUAAAAAUUAUUAUUUUAUAAUAUAAUGGGAGCCUAAUUUAACCAAAAAUUUUAAGAUCUUGCAAAAAAGUCAAAUCCAAAUCUUACCAAACCUCCAACAAAUCUAAGUAAAAAGUAUAUGAGAUUAAAGAGGAAUAAAAAGAGAUAAAUGAAGUAAAUGAAAUAGCCGAUUGAGUCUUAAUUUGAUUGAUAUUGGUAUUGAUGUCAGUGUAAAAAAUCGUGGGUUCUAAUACGUUAAAGUGAAUUAUCCUCUUAUUUAAGGGUUGAGGGGGCUAUAAGUAAUUCUAGGCUUUAUAUUAAAAAGAGCAGAUAUAAUAACAGCCUAUAAUAAAAUUAUUAUUAAAAGAAAUAAAUGAAAUAAUAGCAAGUCAUUAUCAUAAAUAAUAAUAAAUACACGAAAAAAAAUGUCCCAAUACAUUUUAUUUUAUUUUUUAAGAAAUUACAUAAUACCACCACUAAUUAUUUUGAAGCAGACAUGGUGUUACGGGCCGAGACUUUAGCUUCAUUAACGCGCAAUUUUAGUCGAGAGAUAAUGCUACGGGCUGACACUUUAGCCUCAUCAACAUGCAAGUUUAGUCGAAAGAUUGUGUUACGGGCAAAGACUUCAACUCCAUCGACGUGUACUCGAAGGUAGAUUACGAAUAAAGCCUAAAACAGCUUUAACACUGUUAACAGCAGCAAGUCCCCCAAAUUUUCUAACAGCAUUGUCUCCUUCUUGGUUUCCUGCUAAAUCUGAUAGCCCUCUUAUUACUAUCACUGGAUACCCAUUUGACAAGCUUGUCUGCAUCCACAUCCCACCAUUAUAUAUCAAAUAUAAAAACAACACAAUCUUGGUUCUUAUUAAUUGAAGUUCAAAGUUCAAUCUGUUAUGCACUAGUAUGAUGGUCAAAAUUUAGUUUUUUUAAUAUUUUUUUACUUUUACAACAAGUCUCUUAAAAUAGUUUUAGAAUUCAACUAAUAUGUAAAAUUUCAUUAUGACUUCUGAUCAUGUCUUUUUUUUUUUUACACAAUGCCUAGAACUAUUCAUAGCUUUUUUCCAAACCAUAAAUAAGAGGAUAAUGUGUUUCAGUACACUCAAACUCACGUUCUCCUGCAUUUGCAACAAUGUUCAUGCAAAUCGAGUUAAGACUCAACUGACAUAUGUAUAUUUAUUAUUGAUUAAACAUGACUCGUUGAAUUUUCGCUUUGAUUGUAUUAUUGAAUAAUAGAAAAAAAAAGCACAUUCGAUAAUUAAUAAUUAAUAGUUAAUUGUGUUACUAAUUCAAAUUAGACUUCUAUGUCCAAAUUUAAAUUAAAUAAUUUUAAAAACAUUUUUUAUUUAACUUCCAAUUAUAAAAAUAUAUUAAUAUAAAAAUUAUAUACGUUUGUGAGGGUUGGGCCAGACUAAGCUUCAGCUUAGGCUUAAAUUUGUGUCCUCAUAGUCGCAAUUCGAUCCAGACUAUGAAUUCUUCGAAUUCAAACCUAAUAAUAUCAUUAUCAAAUUAUGUGAAAUUAAACUAUAUGGAUUAUAUCUUAAAAUUCAGUAUAACUGAGAUGACUAAAACCAAAAUUAGACCAAAAGGAAAAGAUAAAAGCAAGCAAAAAGUGUUUUACCAUGGCUACACCUGCGCUCUCCAUAUCAGCUGAAGAAACCCCAAAUUUUUGGAAAAGGAAGUCCCUGUAAGCUGCAUUAUCCAGAAAAAUGUUGGAUGUUGAAGCCCUUAGUCCCACCACUAGCUUGGGUCUUUCCGUUAGGCACAAGCUUGAAUUCACACACUGCUCUAGUUUCAUACCCUGAUGCAAUCAACCCAUAGCAAUGAGUUGCAGAUAUCGAACAGUAAGACAAAAGAUAACCAUAAACAGAUCUAUCUAACCUCCAAAUUGGAAGCAAGCUGAAGCCAUUGUAGACUUAUAUUUGCCCAAAGCAGUGAUUCAGCAACGUUUGGUUCCCCUGCUACUGAAUAGUAUUCCUCUUCCAUGUACCCAAUAUGACCUAAUAGAUUGGUUCCAUUCCCUUUUGGGACAUUGUAGUCUCCAAUUUCCAGCUGAGCAACAUCAGCAGAAUCCAGGGUUCCAUUUGUGUUCUAUUCAUAACAGAACAAUCCCACAAUUAGCCUAAAGUCGUCUACGAGAAACUCGAAAAAGAGAUUGAAAUCGAUACAUAUAUAUAUGGUGAUGGUGAUACUUACAAACCAUUCCCAAAGCCCAGUAUGAGCAAUUUGGUUUGGGAUGGUAACAUCUCCAAUGGACAUGGAGUUAUUUGUAUUGCCAGCAAUGCCGAAAUGGAUAAUCCCUUUUAUAUCAAAUAGGUCAGCCAUUUGUUGUGUGGCUGCAACUGCAUUAGUCUGGUUUUUAGUCAACACUGUCAGAAACUGCCAUUGAUGAGCCGAAAAACAAAGAUCUCAAUGCAAUAAAAAAAAAAAAACAAUUUACCAUUCCCUCCCCACAUCGGACGUACACGACUUUUCUCCCACGAACCACUCCAAACCGAAAUCUUCUUCCUGCAAAUAGCCAGAAAAUCCAGAUUAACCAAUACGUUGAAAUGCAGUAUUCGGUAAUCAUAUUGGACUCAUUAGACCUGAAACUCGAGAAAGAUGAAACUUGACAUACCUGAGAGAUCGAUGAAAGGGAACUUGGGAUCAGGUUUGAAAGAACCUGAAGCGAAAAACGCAUCUUCCUCAGUGGCAAUCACUGUGAUGAGGCCAAUGUAUGGGCCUUUUCGGUUCACCUCUCUGAUUUGGUUCAAGGAUUUGAUUCUAUUUCUGGAUAUGGCUGAAGCAAAAGCAAGUACAGAGAAGGUCAACAGCAGUACCAAACAUGGUUUAAGUUGUGUUGCAGCCAUGGGUUUUUAAUUUUCCAAUAUCUUAAUGGGAUGCCACAUAUCGCUACUGAUGACUUCAUUUUAAAUGGAGAAGAUGAUUGGUGCUGACUUGUCACUUUGUUUGGUUGUUGAUAUUGUUAAUUAUUUAUAGGGUAAAUUGCUAAAAUAAUCACUUUUAUUUAACUCAGGUUACAUUUUAGUUACUUCUGUUUAAAAUGUUACGUUUUAGUCACUUACGUUAUUGUUUUAUUAUGAAAUGGUUACUCUGCCAUUAAGAUUUUCAAACGGCAAUCCGACAUGACAAUUAAUAUGGGUUUUAAAUGCCAACGUGAAUGUCCAACCAAGAAAAUUAAUUGAUUUUUCUAAAUGAUUUAACGGAAAAUUUUAAUUUGGCUUUCCAAAAUAAUCAAAACCAAUGGAUCAGAUUAAUCCUUAAAUUGGAAAAAAAAAAAAAGAACCCUUGUCUCCUUUUUCUUUUAGCUUUCGUUUCCAUUUUGAUUGAAAAAACCAUCUAUUUUCAUAGACAUCUUUGUUGACUCGAAACAAUAGAAAUCAAAUUGCAUGCUCCAUCAAUCGAUUGGAUUUUUUAUUCAAAAUGGAAGAACAAAUGAUCGAUUUAAUGGAGGGUCCAUACAUGGAUUACAAUAAGUAAUGGGUUUUUUUGUUCUUUACUUAAGUUUUUAGAUUCAGAUAUUAUGGUUUUUUUGUCCAUCGUGUCAUGUUUCUCUAUAUAUGUGACAAACAAAAAGACAUGCUUCAUCUUUAUUUAUUUGUGUAUUGUGGGCAACCACAAUAGCAAGCAGGUAUAAAGGUUAGUGCAUCUUCUUCUUCUUCUUCUUCUUCUUCUUCUUUGUCGUUCUACUCUUCUCUUCUCUUCUCUUCUCUGAUGUUAACAAAAAAAAAUCCAACUGUUGCUUCUCUUUAGAUGGAAGAAAAUUGGGUUUUAAGGCAAAAUUUUGUAUUCUAUUUUCAUAAAAAAAAAAUUUUAACUUUAUCCCAGCUAGAUGUCCACGUUGAUAUUUAAAACUCAUUUUAAAGGUCACGUCGGACUGCUGUUUGGGAGGUAACAGAUCUUAGCGGCAAAGUGACCAUUUCAUAACAAAAUGAUAAUGUAAUAUUUCAAACAUAAGUGACUAAAGUGUAACUUGAGGCAAACAAAAGUGACUAUUUUGUUAAUUUACCCUUAUUUAUAUUUGUUAUUUUAAAUUUCCCUACUAGACAAUGUAAUCAAAUUCGCACCACCUAUUUUCAAUUUUACCGAUGGCUCAAACAAUAAUUAAUUAAUUAAAGUUUAUAAAAAUUAAAAAAAUAAAGUAAAAAAAGGUUAAUUUAUUAUUUACCCCAAAAUUGCACUCAAUUAUCACUUUGGUAAUUAAAGAAUUUUUUUUAUCAAUUCGGGUCUUGAUGCUUCCAGACAUCAGGGACGUUAUCCCAGCGGUUACUAAAAAGGAUGAUAUGGCAUGCUGGGAGCGCGUCACAUCACCCAAUUUUAUGUAUUUUUAAAAUAAAUGCAAAAAAAAUUCGAAAAAUUGAAAAAUGCGGAAAAUUCAGAAAAUAACAUAAACAAAAUAGGAAAAAUCAUAAAAAAAAUAUAAGACUUUCCGUAAUUUAAAAAACAUAUUUUUCUUUCUAAAAAUAAGAAAAAAAAAACACAAAAUAAUAUAGAUAUAUUUAUAGUACUUUUUAUUAACUUUAUUUUCAAAAAAAUUUAAAUUUAUUUUCUCAUUAAAAAAAUUACUUGUCACUUUAUGUUAAAAAUAAUAAUAAUUAUGAUCUUAAUUCUAUCACGUAAAUGAUAAUAAACUAUUCUUAUAAGUAAUUAAAGGUGAAAGUUUAUCUAAACAAAUAAAAGUUUAAAUGCCAUUCGUACUUUAACUUUAUAAUCAAAAACUCAAUUGAUAUGGGUAUUGCUAUCAAUGCAAAAGGACAUGGGUUCGAAUGCGCUGAAGCUUAUUAUCUUCUUAUUUAUGAGUUAGGAGAGAUUAUAGGUAAUUCUAAAUAUUGUGUAAAACAAGAAGACUCCACAUGCAUAAUCCAUACUCGUACUGUACAAAAAUUUUAAGUCUGCAAUUGAACAAUCACCAUGGCCUAUGACUUCUGUGGUUCAUCGAUGUUGCUAUAUAUAAUUAAUCAAACUUGAAAGUAAUUAAAUUUAAGAUAAGCCUUGGAAAAACUAAUUUUAUAUACUGUACUUAAAAAAAGAAAAAUUCAUAAUUUUUGGAAAUUUUUCAUAAUGUUUGUAAUUUUUCUUUUUAAUUUUUCAUCGUGAAAAAGAUAGAAUUUUAGAAAAAUAGAAAAAUAUUUAAAGCGAUUAAACAGUAUUAUAGAUAUUUAUAUAUUCAUAUUUUUUUCUUUAUUUUAAUGAUUUUUUUUUCUUUUCCUUUUUGAACUUUCUCUAUGUUUUUUAAAUUCUGGAAAAGUUUUAUAAUUUUUCUUUUAACUUCAAAUUUUCUUUGAUAUUUUCCAGAUUUUUUUUUUGGCUAUGUUCUGAUUUUUUUUUGCAUUUAUUUUGAGAAAAAAAAAUAUAAAAUUGGGUGACAACUAGAACAACGUUUGAAAACUAAGAAAACCUUCAGGUAAUAAUUGUGUGCAACUGUAAGAAGCAAAUAGUAUAUUAAAAGUGAGUUUAGAUGGACGGUGCGUUUACUUGCAGUUAGUGUAAAAAUAGCGAUGACGGUGAGAUUAGAUACUGUAGCGAUACUGUAAUGUGAGACAAAAAAUAAACUAAACGCACCGCACCGUACCCAAUCGCCCAUCCAAACCAACACUAACCCUUUAAAAAAUUAUAAAACUAGCUGUUGAACUGGACCAACAUAUCAAUCUAUUCGACCCAAAUAAAAAGUCUGGGUGGACGUGAAAUGAGUGUGACUCUCACCGUCCAAUUUUGAAUAUUUGAUCCCAAACAGCAAAGGAAAAAGAUCACAAUAUCUAGUACUUUAAUAAACCAAAUCAACACAUUGUAAUAAACCUAAAUAAAAUGAGGGGAAACACCUCAAUCUUUUUAUAUUCAUAUGCUCAACCAUGUGAAAAUAAUGCUUAUUUUAUUUAAAUAACCCGAAAAAAUUAAUUAUUUAUAAAAAAAUAAUCAUCUAAAUGACUUAAAAUGAACAGUAAAAUUGAGUUAUGAAUACCAGAUGACCGGCAUCUACAUAAAAUACAUUAAAAAUAAUUUUUGGGGUUAUAUGUUCACUAAAUGGCCGAUUCCCAUAUUUUAUUUUUUUUACAAAUCGCAUGAAACUAAUACUCAUUUUAAAUCAAUAUUUAUAAAAUAAAAUUGAGUUACGGAUAUUAAAUUACCGACACUAAUUUUUUUAGUACACCAAAUCAACACGUUGUACUAAACGAAAAUAAAAUGAGGGGAAAGCCUCAACUUUUUUAUAUUAACAUGCUGAACCAUGUGAAAAUAAUAUACUAAAAGCAUCUAACUAAUUAUUGAUCAUCAAAUAAAGAGCAGUCGCAAUGUAAAUGUUAAAAGGGUUUCUCUCAAAUUACAUUUUAGUCAUUUAUAUUUAAAAUGUUACGUUUUAGUCACUUACAUUAUCAUGUUAUAACAUUUUAGUCACUGAGCGUUAAUUACUAUUAACGGUGUAACGGUAAACUGAAAUAACACGUUAAAUCAUAAUUUCAAACGAAAAUUUUAGGUUAAAUUAUAUAAUUGGUCCAUAUAUUUUUUUCGUUUUAAGCAAUUCAAUUUUUUUCUUUUACGUUAAAAGAGAUGGAGAAGAGAGGAGAAUAGAGAAAGAAGCAAAAGGGAAUGAAAAAUAAAGGAAAGUUAAAAGAACAUAAAAGAAAAAAAAAUUACUUAAAAUAAUAAAAAUAUGGGGAUCAAUUAUAUAAUUUAACCUAAAAAUUUUGUUUGAAAUGAUGAUUGAACGUGUCACAUCAACUUACCGUUACACCGUUAACAGCAAUUAACGACUCAAUGACUAAAAUGUUAUAAUACGUUAACGUAAGUGACUAAAACGUAACAUUUCAAACAUAUGUAACUAAAAUAAAACCUAAGAAAAACAAAAGUCACCAUUGGUAAUUUACCCAAAUGUUAAAUGAGUUUAACAUUAAUACAAAUGCUUUAAACAAAUUCUAUUCGUAAUCAUGCAUGAAUCUGAUUUGUUAUUAAAAUUUUAUUUUUUUUACUUACCCCAAAAUAUGCUGAUUUUUUAUUUACUAUUACAUGUUUAAUUUUACGAUGUAACUACUUGGCCCUUGUAAGCCGCCAUUGACUUAGUGACGAGUAUUAUGUUCUCCAUUCUCAAUUAUCUAAAAAAAAUUCUAACUAUAAAUUUUAUUUGGUUGAAUAAUUUCAAAUUUUUGAAGACUAGUGCAAUCCCAAGUGAAAAUUUUGCCUUCUUGGAUCUCACUGCAUUGUACCAGAGGUCCAAUAAGCUUAAAAUAGUGUAUUCAAUAUAUUUCAAAAGAGUCCAUUGAAUAUUAACUCGAUUGAAAUGAGCAUUAUUGUCAGAGAACGUGAGUCUAAAUGUAUUGAAGCACUUAAUCCUCGUAUUUAUGUAUUGGAGAAAGACUAUGUAUACUUCUAGACAUUGUGUCAAAAAAAAAAAUAUAAUCAACACCUAUAAUGAGAUUAUUCAAAAAUAUAUAUAUAUAUAUAUAUAUCUUUCAAAAAUAUCAACUUGAAUUUGAAAUUAUCCAAACAAGUAAAAUAGAUGCUCAAACCAAAUAACCCAAAUCCACAACACACCAAAAUAACAAACACCCGAAAUUAAAAUAAAUUUAAGUGACUCAACAUUAAAAUGACUUAAACCUAUUUGUGCAAUUAAAGAUUAAAAAUGAACAAAGUAAUUCUAAGAAUCGCUCUAAAUAUAAGAAAAGAAUAUCAUGUAUUUUGUUCUCCAAGAAAUUAAAAUUUUGGUUUUAAAAGCAAAUGGAGCCUCAUCCCAGCAAAGCUGACAGGUUGAAGCCUAGUUCAGUUCAAAGCUUUGUCUUCUCAAGUAAAAACACACACACAUACAUAUAUAUAUAUGACAAACUUCAUUUUUUCUUAAACCUUACAACGCAGCCAAGCAUUAGGCUCAAUUCUCAGAGAUAUCAGAAGUAUAGGAAGAAAUAAUAUGUAUAUGUGCAAAACAUGACAAGAUGAUGGCAAGCAAAAGACCUUCACUCAAACUCAUAGAAAAUUAAAGUGGAACUCUUGGUAUUAAUCUAAGACACGGCCGAUGAAUUCAUCACCUACUAUGCUAAAUAAUCACAUGCCAACCGAUAUUUAGAGAAACAAACCAGCAAAUGUUCAGGACUGAACAUAUCGCACAUUGACCAUGUCACAAGCGCAUCACCAAUUCCUGCAUUCCCACCAUCAAACGUCAAAGUAUGCCCACAAGUACAUUAUAUCUCCUUUGCCUCUUUCUAUUGUUUCUUCAAAAACUUUUUUCAGCUAUUGAUAAAAAUGAAACGUAUUUAAAAGAGGAACUUAGCAGUCAAAAAUUACAAACUCUAAAGUCGAUAAUAUGAUACCUGAAGAGACCAUAACAAAAGCAAAAACAGAUUUUCUUAGUCAUGGGACAUGUUCUUUUCUCAUUUAAACACUAAUAAUCUGCAGCAAGGUUUGAAGGUAAAACAGAGUAAGCAAUUUGACCUUCAAACCAUCCCCAAACACCCCCAAAUCACCAAUUUCCGAAACAAAAGCUUAUUAACAGGAUAAAGUAAACCAUUUGCUCCCUUUCACAGUACUCGGUUAUUCUCUCAUACCUUCCAAGUUCCAUCACAGAUGAAUAAGAAAUUUCAAGACAAGAAAUUGGCUACUAAGACUCCAGCUAACAGUCAAUCAUUGAACAUCAUACCAUGCAUCAAAUUAAGAAUACCUUCCUAGUUCCUACCAGUGCCAUGAUGCGUCAUGAUUGAAAACCAAACCAAGGUUUUUUAUGGCGUCAGGUAUUGCAUUUAGCAACAGUUUCUUUCACCAAAUUUCCCUCCUCUGAUAAGUGCAAUUCCAAUCUAGUACUUCGAGAACUUACACAGAACCUUCCUUAUGUAGAUUGGCUGCUUCUAAGAAUCCUGUAAAGUUAGACUAUAAUAUCUAGCAAGUUGGCUUAGCUAUCUUGUGUGGCAUCCAUACACACAUUCAGUAAUGUAUCAUAUAAAUUAGAUCAUUGAACAAAGAAUAUAUUACUAGUAAUUGAUCUGAGUGGAUAUCUGCAUUAGCUAUAGCAGAUCCCUGCUUCUUCCUACUUGAUGUAGAGCAAAUUAAAUGAUCUUAAGAUAAACAUUCAAGAAAAGGAGCAAUGAAAAUCCCAGUCAAAACCAUUCAAAUUUCAAAUUUCAAUAAUCUAAGUCUCGAGUAUUUCUCAAAGUAUCAAAAGCAAUUAUUUUUAAAGCCACUGAAAACAACACAGGCAUUCAAAAGACACGUCUUAAACCCUAACAAAAACCUGAAAGACACCAAAUGUAGGUCUAAUUUCCAAUUACCUAGAAUACCACAAGACUCCUCUUUUUGGGGUCAAUGCGUUCAAUGGUGAAUCCAUCUUUAUAUGAAUCCCUGCCCAUUUUUCUCCCAAAACGACUGUACGGAAGAAAAGCAACGUAGCCUGCUAUGGCUACUGAAUAACCUCCUCUCACUUUAUCAAUAAAAAAGCCCUUGACCUUCGAAUUGUUUUGCCAAUGCUUAUUCAAUUCUUGCCAAACUAGGGUUUGCCUGAACCUCCGUGGAUUAAGAAGAGUCGGCUCGCCGGCGACAACGUCCAGUGAUCUCGAUCCCAACAAAUCGUUAAACCUAACGGCAGCUCGCUCUUUGGCAAUCGAUUCACCGCUCACUAAAUCGACGAAGAAUCUCUCCAAAAACCGCUUUCUCACCAGUGAUUCACCGCCGCCCACUCCUUUAUCGAAGAAUCCCACCUUAUCCUCAAAUCGAUUGAUUGCCGAUCCGGUUAAUGUGGUCUCGUCUUGCGUACAAAUCCUAGGGCUUCCAAUCCCUGCAUCAACCAACAACGUUUGUUCCCUUAAGCGUAAAACUUCAGCUUUAAUGGCUUGUCCACUACAUAACAACAUGCUGGAAUUAGAUUUUGGAAACAAUCGACUCAUAUACGUGCUCAUCUUUGAGGUUCUUUUCUUUUCUUUUUUCUUUUUUCUUUUUUGAAUUUCCAAGGAUUGGAGUUGUUCGCUAGGGCUAAGGCGUGGAACCUCAACUUGG